UCUUGAAAUGAACCUUUCAGAGCUCAUUGUUGGCUGAAAAUGUUAAGCGUGAAAUUCUGCGUCAGAUAAUCACCGGUGAAUUGAAGCACGGAACGAUGACCAACGCCAUCGAGGAUUUGAUUGAAGAUUGCGGACCAAAAAACUACCCCUGUAUGCAGCCAAUAGGAUUUGGAUCCUUGUCGAAAGUUCUUUUUGCUAAACUGCUGUACACAAGCAAUUAUUGGCUAUUUGCUCUCAUGCAAUGGAAACCGAUCAACAAUAAUUAAACUUACGUUUUCUCACUUCCUUCCAGUGUUUUGUAACCUUUUCUCUUCAUGAAGUCCUUCAGCGCUUGCCGGCCUUCAACGAUCUUGUUGAACUCGACCGAAACCACCUUUGGACCAGAAUGGUCCUGAGUACAUCUAGUUCGCUACCCUCGACGUCUAAACUGAGGAAAUCCACGUUGGUUCUGUUUAAUGCCGCGAGAAGGCUAAACAAGGGCACGCACUGGACGUCAACCAAACCGGGCCUACGUGCCCCUGGGG